rnacentral:rRNA from 1 species
GAUGAACGCUGGCGGCGUGCCUAAUACAUGCAAGUCGAGCGAACAGAUAAGGAGCUUGCUCCUUUGACGUUAGCGGCGGACGGGUGAGUUACACGUGGAUAACCUACCUAUAAGACUGGGAUAACUUCGGGAAACCGGAGCUAAUACCGGAUAACAUAUUGAACCGCAUGGUUCAAUAGUGAAAGGCGGCUUUGCUGUCACUUAUAGAUGGAUCCGCGCCGUAUUAGCUAGUUGGUAAGGUAACGGCUUACCAAGGCAACGAUACGUAGCCGACCUGAGAGGGUGAUCGGCCACACUGGAACUGAGACACGGUCCAGACUCCGACGGGAGGCAGCAGUAGGGAAUCUUCCGCAAUGGGCGAAAGCCUGACGGAGCAACGCUGCGUGAGUGAUGAAGGUCUUCGGAUCGUAAAACUCUGUUAUCAGGGAAGAACAAAUGUGUAAGUAACUGUGCACAUCUUGACGGUACCUGAUCAGAAAGCCACGGCUAACUACGUG